rnacentral:rRNA from 1 species
GACGAACGCUGGCGGCGUUCUUAACACAUGCCAGUCGAACGGAAAGGCCCUGCUUUUGUGGGGUGCUCGAGUGGCGAACGGGUGAGUAACACGUGAGUAACCUGCCCUUGACUUUGGGAUAACUUCAGGAAACUGGGGCUAAUACCGGCUAGGAGCUCCUGCUGCAUGGUGGGGGUUGGAAAGUUUCGGCGGUUGGGGAUGGACUCGCGGCUUAUCAGCUUGUUGGUGGGGUAGUGGCUUACCAAGGCUUUGACGGGUAGCCGGCCUGAGAGGGUGACCGGCCACAUUGGGACUGAGAUACGGCCCAGACUCCUACGGGAGGCAGCAGUGGGGAAUAUUGCACAAUGGGCGGAAGCCUGAUGCAGCAACGCCGCGUGCGGGAUGACGGCCUUCGGGUUGUAAACCGCUUUCGCCUGUGACGAAGCGUGAGUGACGGUAAUGGGUAAAGAAGCACCGGCUAACUACGUG